rnacentral:rRNA from 1 species
UCGGGAAUUUUGGGCAAUGGGCGAAAGCCUGACCCAGCAACGCCGCGUGAAGGAUGAAGUAUUUCGGUAUGUAAACUUCGAAAGAAUAGGAAGAAUAAAUGACGGUACUAUUUAUAAGGUCCGGCUAACUACGUGCCAGCAGCCGCGGUAAUACGUAGGGACCAAGCGUUGUUCGGAUUUACUGGGCGUAAAGGGCGCGUAGGCGGCAAUUCAAGUCAUCUGUGAAAUCUCCGGGCUUAACUCGGAACGGUCAGAUGAUACUGCUUUGCUAGAGUGCAGAAGGGGCAAUCGGAAUUCUUGGUGUAGCGGUGAAAUGCGUAGAUAUCAAGAGGAACACCUGAGGCGAAGGCGGGUUGCUAGGCUGAUACUGACGCUGAGGCGCGAAAGCUAGGGUAGCAAACGGGAUUAGAUACCCUAGUAGUCCCUGAGCGGGCUGGCAAGGCGCAU